AUUGAACGCUGGCGGCAGGCCUAACACAUGCAAGUCGAGCGGAUGAAGGGAGCUUGCUCCUGGAUUCAGCGGCGGACGGGUGAGUAAUGCCUAGGAAUCUGCCUGGUAGUGGGGGAUAACGUCCGGAAACGGGCGCUAAUACCGCAUACGUCCUGAGGGAGAAAGUGGGGGAUCUUCGGACCUCACGCUAUCAGAUGAGCCUAGGUCGGAUUAGCUAGUUGGUGGGGUAAAGGCCUACCAAGGCGACGAUCCGUAACUGGCCUGAGAGGAUGAUCAGUCACACUGGAACUGAGACACGGUCCAGACUCCUACGGGAGGCAGCAGUGGGGAAUAUUGGACAAAGGGCGAAAGCCUGAUCCAGCCAUGCCGCGUGUGUGAAGAAGGUCUUCGGAUUGUAAAGCACUUUAAGUUGGGAGGAAGGGCAGUAAGUUAAUACCUUGCUGUUUUGACGUUACCAACAGAAUAAGCACCGGCUAACUUCGUG
rnacentral:rRNA from 1 species